CUUUCAAAUCUUUCAAAUCCCUCGAACAUUCCACCAACUGCCAACAGGAACUAAUAGAUUUCAAAUAGGGCAGAGAAGAGCUUUCAAAUCUUUCUAAUCCCUCGAACAUUCCACCAACUGCCAACAGGAACUAAUAGAUUUCAAAUAGGGCAGAGAAGAGCAUUCAAAUCUUUCAAAUCCCUCGGACAUUCCACCAACUGCCAACAGGAACGAAUACAUUUCAAAUAGGGCAGAGAAGAGCGGUUAAAAACAAACUGCUCCAAAUUGCUCACUUCACUGGCGGUUGCCAUCUUCAAAC